CAAGUUGGUCCAAAUUGGGGUCCAAAAUUAAACUUUGUUUGAUUUCAACAAAAAUUGAAUAUAUGGGGUUCUUUGAUAUGCUGAAUCUAACCAUGUAUUUAGAUUUUUGAUUAUGGGCCCAGUUUUCAAGUUGGUCCAAAUUGGGGUCCAAAAUUAAACUUUGUUUGAUUUCAACAAAAAUUGAAUAUAUGAGGUUCUUUGAUAUGCCGAAUCUAACAGUGUAUUUAGAUUUUUAAUUUUGGGUCCAGUUUUCAAAUUGGCCUACAUUAAGGUCCAAAGGGUCCAAAAUUCAACUUUGUUUGAUUUUAGCAAAAUUUGAAUAUAUGAGGUUCUUUGAUAUGCUGAAUCUAAACGUGUAUUUAGAUUUUUGAUUUUUAUACGACCGCAAAAAAAUUUUUGUGGUCGUAUAUUGGUAUGACGUUGGCGUCGUCGUCGUCGUCGUCGUCGUCGUCGUCGUCCGGCGUCGUCGUCGUCCGGCGUCGUCGUCCGAAUACACAUUAGUUUUCGCACUCUAACUUUAGUUUAAGUGAAUGGAUCUCAAUGAAAUUUUACCAUAAGGUUCAAUACCACAAAAGGAAGGUGGGGAUUGAUUUUGGGGGUUAUGGUACUAACAGUUAAGGAAUUAGGGGCCAAAAGGGGCCAAAAAUAAGCAUUUUUGUAACUUCCAGACAUAACUUGUGUGUAAGUGUAUGGAUCUCUCUGACAUUGUACCACAAGGUUCCAUAUCACAAAGGGAAUGCUGGGAUUGAUUUUGGGGGUAAUUGCCUCCAAAUUUUAGGAAUUGGGGGCCAAAAAGGGGCAAAAAACAAGCAUUUUUCUAGUUUCAUGACAAUAUCUUGUUUGUAAGUGUAUGGAUCUUUAUGAAAUUGUACUACAAGGUUCCAUAUCACAAAGGGAAUACUGGGAUUGAUUUUUGGGGUAAUUUCCUCCAAAUUUUAGGAAUUAGGGGCAAAAAAGGGGCAAAAAACAAGCAUUUUUCUAGUUUCAUGACAAUAACUUGUUUGUAAGUGUAUGGAUCUUUAUGAAAUUGUACUACAAGGUUCCAUAUCACAAAGGGAAGGCUGGGAUUGAUUUUGGGGGUUUUCCCUCAAAAUUUUAGUAAUUAGGGGCCAUAAAAGGGCAAAAAAAACAUGCAUUUUUCUAGUUUCAGGACAAUAACUUGUGUGUAAGUGUAUGGAUCUUUAUGAAAUUGUACUGCAAGGUUCCAUAUCACAAAGGGAAAGUUGGGUUUGAGUUUGGGGGUAAUUGCCCUAAACGUUUAGGAAUUUGGGGCCAAAAAGGGGCCAAAAACACAUUUUUUUCUAGUUUCCAGACAAUAACUUGUGUUCAAGUGUAUGGAUCUCUCUGAAAUUGUACUGCAAGGUACCAUACCACAAAGGGAAGGCUGGGAUUGAGUUUGGGGGUGAUGAAUCAUAAUGGGGGUUCAAAAAUUUGGGGGGGGGGAUUUAUUUUUUUUUCCUUUUUUUUCUUUUUUUCUUUUUUUGUUUCUUUUAAAAUUUUCCAUUUAAUUUGGUUAUUUCUGAUUUAUAUUUAAAAUCAAAUAAUAAUGAUAUGGUAGGAGAUACACACCAAACAGGAUGUGUAAAUUAUUAUAUAAUAAGUAUUGUGCAAUAGCAAGAAAUUUUCAAUUGCACAGUAUUGCACAAUAGCAAGAAAUCUUCAAUUGCACAGUAUUGCGCAAUAGCAAGAAAUCUUCAAUUGCACAGUAUUGCGCAAUAGCAAGAAAUAUCCAAUAGCACAAUAUUGCGCAAUAGCAAGAAAUUGUCAAUUGUACAGUAUUGCGCAAUAGCAAGAAAUAUUUAAUAGCACAGGAUUGUGCAAAAGAAGAUACUUCCUAUAAAUUGCUUAUUUCUUGACCAAUUUCAAUGGGGUUUUAUUCUUGAUUUCAUGGGGUUCUUUAAUAUGCUGAAUCUAACCGUGUAUUUAGUUUUUGGAUUUUGGGCCCCGUUUUUAAAUUGGUCCACAUUGAGGUCCAAAGGGUCCAAAAUUAAACUUUGUUUGAUUUCAUCAAAAAUUGAAUUAUUGGGGUUCUUUGAUAUGCCGAAUCAAACUGUGUAUUUAGAUUCUUAAAUUUUGGUUCCGUUUUCAAAUUGGUCUACAUUAAGGUCCAAAGGGUCCAAAAUUAAACUUAGUUUGAUUUUAACAUAAAUUGAAUUCUUAGAGUUCUUUGAUAUGCUGAAUCUAAACAUGUAUUUAGAUUUUUGAUAAUGGGCCCAGUUUUCAAGUUGGUCCAAAUCGGGGUCCAAAAUUAAACUUUGUUUGAUUUCAACAAAAAUUGAAUAUAUGGGGUUCUUUGAUAUGCUGAAUCUAACCAUGUAUUUAGAUUUUUGAUUUUUGGGCCCCGUUAUCAACUUUGUCCACAUUGAGGUCAAAAGGGUCCAAAAUUAAACUUUGUUUGAUUUCAUCAAAAAUUGAAUUAUUGGGGUUCUUUGAUAUGCCGAAUCUAACCGUGUAUUUAAAUUCUUAAUUUUUGGUUCCGUUUUCAAAUUGGUCUACAUUAAGGUCCAAAGGGUCCAAAAUUAAACUUAGUUUGAUUUUAACAAAAAUUGAAUUCUUAGGGUUCUUUGAUAUGCUGAAUCUAAACUUGUAUUUAGAUUUUUAUACGACCGCAAAAAUUGAAAAUUUUUUGGUCGUAUAUUGGUAUGACGUUGGCGUCGUCGUCGUCGUCGUCGUCGUCUGGCGUCGUCCGGCGUCGUCCGAAGACACAUUGGUUUUCGCACUCUAACUUUAGUUUAAGUGAAUGGAUCUCCAUGAAAUUUUACCAUAAGGUUCAAUACCACGAAAGGAAGGUGGGGAUUGAUUUUGGGGGUUAUGGUACCAACAGUUAAGGAAUUAGGGGCCAAAAAGGGGCCAAAAAUAAGCAUUUUUGUAACUUCCAGACAAUAACUUGUGUGUAAGUGUAUGGAUCUCUCUGACAUUGUACCACAAGGUUCCAUAUCACAAAGGGAAGGCUGUAAUUGAUUUUGGGGGUAAUUGCCUCAAAAUUUUAGGAAUUAGGGGCCAAAAAAGGGGCAAAAAACAAGCAUUUUUCUAGUUUCAUGACAAUAACUUGUGUGUAAGUGUUUGGAUAUUUCUGAAAUUGUACUACAAGGUUCCAUAUCACAAAGGGAAAGCUGGAAUUGAGUUUGGGGGUAAUUGCCCGAAACGUUUAGGAAUUGGGGGCCAAAAAGGGGCCAAAAAUAAGCAUUUUUCUAGUUUCCAGACAAUAACUUGUGUUCAAGUGUAUGGAUCUCUCUGAAAUUGUACUGCAAGGUACCAUACCACAAAGGGAAGGCUGGGAUUGAGUUUGGGGGUGAUGAAUCAUAAUGGGGGUUCAAAAAAUUUGGGGGGGGGGGAUUUAUUUUUUUUUCCUUUUUUUUCUUUUUUUCUUUUUUUGUUUCUUUUAAAAUUUUCCAUUUUAAUUUGGUUAUUUCUGAUUUAUAUUUAAAAUCAAAUAAUAAUGAUAUGGUAGGAGAUACACACCAAACAGGAUGUGUAAAUUAUUAUAUAAUAAGUAUUGUGCAAUAGCAAGAAAUUUUCAAUUGCACAGUAUUGCACAAUAGCAAGAAAUCUUCAAUUGCACAGUAUUGCGCAAUAGCAAGAAAUCUUCAAUUGCACAGUAUUGCGCAAUAGCAAGAAAUAUCCAAUAGCACAAUAUUGCGCAAUAGCAAGAAAUUGUCAAUUGUACAGUAUUGCGCAAUAGCAAGAAAUAUUUAAUAGCACAGGAUUGUGCAAAAGAAGAUACUUCCUAUAAAUUGCUUAUUUCUUGACCAAUUUCAAUGGGGUUUUAUUCUUGAUUUCAUGGGGUUCUUUAAUAUGCUGAAUCUAACCGUGUAUUUAGUUUUUGGAUUUUGGGCCCCGUUUUUAAAUUGGUCCACAUUGAGGUCCAAAGGGUCCAAAAUUAAACUUUGUUUGAUUUCAUCAAAAAUUGAAUUAUUGGGGUUCUUUGAUAUGCCGAAUCAAACUGUGUAUUUAGAUUCUUAAAUUUUGGUUCCGUUUUCAAAUUGGUCUACAUUAAGGUCCAAAGGGUCCAAAAUUAAACUUAGUUUGAUUUUAACAUAAAUUGAAUUCUUAGAGUUCUUUGAUAUGCUGAAUCUAAACAUGUAUUUAGAUUUUUGAUAAUGGGCCCAGUUUUCAAGUUGGUCCAAAUCGGGGUCCAAAAUUAAACUUUGUUUGAUUUCAACAAAAAUUGAAUAUAUGGGGUUCUUUGAUAUGCUGAAUCUAACCAUGUAUUUAGAUUUUUGAUUUUUGGGCCCCGUUAUCAACUUUGUCCACAUUGAGGUCAAAAGGGUCCAAAAUUAAACUUUGUUUGAUUUCAUCAAAAAUUGAAUUAUUGGGGUUCUUUGAUAUGCCGAAUCUAACCGUGUAUUUAAAUUCUUAAUUUUUGGUUCCGUUUUCAAAUUGGUCUACAUUAAGGUCCAAAGGGUCCAAAAUUAAACUUAGUUUGAUUUUAACAAAAAUUGAAUUCUUAGGGUUCUUUGAUAUGCUGAAUCUAAACAUGUAUUUAGAUUUUUGAUUAUGGGCCCAGUUUUCAAGUUGGUCCAAAUCGGGGUCCAAAAUUAAACUUUGUUUGAUUUCAACAAAAAUUGAAUAUAUGGGGUUCUUUGAUAUGCUGAAUCUAACCAUGUAUUUAGAUUUUUGAUUUUUGGGCCCCGUUAUCAACUUUGUCCACAUUGAGGUCAAAAGGGUCCAAAAUUAAACUUUGUUUGAUUUCAUCAAAAAUUGAAUUCUUGGGGUUCUUUGAUAUGCUGAAUCUAACCAUGUAUUUAGAUUUUGGAUAUUGGACCAUAAUAGGUGAAUGUCCAAUUUAAAAUUUUUAAGUUCUUAGACCACAUUCAAUCUGUGUUAGAAACCUAUGCUGUGUCAAAUAUUUAAUCACAAUCCAAAUCCAAAGCUGUAUCAAGCUUGAAUGUUGUGUCCAUACUUCCCCCAACUGUUCAGGGUUCGACCUCUGCGGUCGUAUCAAGCUGUGCCCUGCGGAGCAUUUUAUUUGUUAUUAUCUUAGAUAUCAUUAUAAUAUCUAAUAUCUAAUACUAUUAAUUAUGAUUUUAACCUUAUUUUACAUGAUUUCCAAAGCAUCAGUAAAUACAGGUGAGCGACACAGGCUCUUGAG